UCACAUAUUACUGGGAACCUGAGAGGAUGU
rnacentral:piRNA from 1 species